ensembl:lncRNA uncharacterized LOC114794911
AUUCUCCUACUUGGACCCCCCUCCCCAAAAACAGACUCACCCUCCACCCUUUUGACACCCUCUGAAGCAGCACCCUGCCCUACAAUCUCAGCAGAAGCUGUUUUACUUCCUCCCUCCCAUUAUCUAAAGGAAGUGGAAGAACAAGCAGUGAGGGGAUUGGAUGUGAAUACCUUUUCCAUGGGCUAAGCGCACACACUAACCUCUCACACAAACACAUUCACACACACUCACACACAGGCUCAACCAGAACUGCAUCUAUGCACCACAGAUAAGAGCUGCACGCUGGUUUUAAUCAACAUCAUGAAUCCCUUCGGAAUUACACUCCUUCUUACACUGGUCACUUUUGUCACAGGACAUGACAAUGGAUUGCCAACCAUUGAACCUAAUAUCACUUCAAAAGAAAAUGAUACAUCAUAUGUUAUUCCAAAAGAUCUUGCUACUGAAAAACCAAAGAUUACACCCAUUACAGUUGUCAGUACACAGAUUGAAUACACAGACAAAUCAAUUACCCCAGGAUAUAGUACUAGUUCAUAUAGUGCUGCAACUAAUGCAACAGAGUACAGUGCCUCUACAGGGACAGACAAGACAACAUUAGACAAUUCAACAAUACAGCAAAGCAGUGAUGAAAACAAGGAAAUAAAACAAGAAAUAGAAUACAGUGCCUCCACAGGGACAGACAAGACAACAUUAUACAAUUCAACAAUAAAGCAAAGCAGUGAUGAAAACAAGGAAAUAAAACAAGAAAUAGAUCAGAGGAUACUGUUGACGCUAUUACUGGUGCCAGUUGUUUUGGCAGUAGCUGGUUACAUCAUUCUCAAGUUCAAAUGCAAGAAAGUCCAUGAUCAUGCAGAGACAACCGACAAUGGAUUGGAAAAUGCGUCUUUUCAAAGAUCGGAAAGCAACAAGGAUGGUGUCAUGCUUCUUGGGGUGAAGCCAUCUGGAGAUGAGGGUAAUGCAGCUGCAAAAUAAAGAAACGAGUGAUAACAGUGAAGAAAACAUGAAGAAUAUAUUUGCACACCUGAAGGAGUUCAGCAUCCCUUUUUGUUAAGGGAUGAGGUUUCACACUAAAAUGUUGAUGUUGUAGGUUGACUAUGUGAAACUGAAUCCCUGUCUACAAGAUGUUUUAAAUUAACACUUGACUUAAGGCAAUCAGAUACUACAUUUUGUGAUGAAUACUAUUAUUUUCGCAGGUUAAGGUUGUACACAUUAAACUGUGGCAUUUGGGCUGACAAUUGUGUAUUGAUGACUGAUGUGUUUUUAACAAUCCAAAAAUAUAUAUAUAGCACAGGAAUAUAUUACAUUGAAACGACAUGAAAACCAUUAAUACAACCUGUAGUCAAUUAAACAAUGUUGAUACAACAAUUUCUAUGCCUAUUUUCUUAACAGUGUUACAGCAGGAAAAUGGCAGUUUUAGUCAGAAGCAUCAGAGCCUGGUCUUGUACAAGUGUGUAAACCUUUUUCAAUGUAUUUGUAAGGCAUUUCAGUGCAUAUAGACAAUUGACCUUCAGUACAGGUUAUGCAGCUAUUUAUUUUUCUGUUCUUCAUUCUCUACUCUUCACCUUUAUUUUUUUUUUGCACUACACUGUACUACUCCGUUCAUUUAUUUUCUAUUUCACCUUUUCAUUGGCUGAUAUCAUUUUGACACAUUGUUGUAUAGAAACACUGAAAUUGGAAUCUAUUAAAAGCUGAAUUUAAAUUGAUGUUGUGGAUGUGCUGGAUUAUUAUCAUGACUACAUAUAGGCUUAGAAACAUACACAUUGCUUGAGCACAGCUCUGGAAGCAGUGUUGCCCAUGGCAACUAUCUCAUAGGAAGUAGCUGAUAUGUCAAACUACUUUGCAUCAUCACAAGCGUUUAUAUACAUCACACAGCAGUGAAUUCCUUUUCUCUACUCUGUAAACUAAAACAGAUAUAGCUUGUAAUAUCUUACUGCAGCUUGGUGUACUAAAAU